rnacentral:lncRNA from 1 species
CUCCCUACUUAACUGUGUUCUGAAUUCCAGGCCUAAGCAAGCCCCUCUGAUCGGUGACUGAAUCCCAUCCAGAGCCACACCUGUGGAGAGAGUGGGACACGCAGGUCUCAUCUUUCCAGCCAUUUCCGGAGAAAGAUAUCCCAGAAUGGGGUGGGAACAGAUGCUGAGUGAGCCCAUUCAACAGCCUCCAGACACCGAGCGGAUGCAGUUUAAAAUCACCACUGCUGCAGGCUCAGCCCAGGGCCAAGUAGACCAGCAGCCCUGGCCCCAGGAGUCCCACUGCAGCUCUCGAGCAGAAGGAAGGGCACCCUAAGGAUCAGCUGCCUCUUCCUGAGCUUUCCUCACCUCCAGCACAGCCAGAGAGAGUGGGAAAGGAUUCCAGAGAGAAAGGCAGCUGCCUCACAGGAGAAGAGGUGAGCCGAGGCAGGGAGUGGGAACAGAGCCUCUGCUCCCUGGGAAGCACCCUCCUCACUUGGUUGCUGAUCUCAGGCUGUUCCUUCCACUCUAAUAAAUGCUACUG